CUGUGGAGGUCCUGUAGGCAAGUACACUGGGGUUAAUCCUAGAAAGCAAAGAGAUGUCUGGAACACAGCUCCCCAGGAAGGUGGGCUCCUAAAUGCUGAAUCCCCCAUGGGCUCCUCCAGCGAACCCCACUGUUGUGAUGGGUACAUGGUGUGUAGGACAUGGCGGGGUUGGUCUGGGUCCUGCCCCUGUGUGGUCCACGCCGCAGAUCAGAACAUAGGCCAAACCCCACAAUGUUUUGCAAGACCCAGUAUCUCAAGUCACCACUGCAGCACUCGCAGUAAAUAGACAUUUUGCCACAUGUAUUUGGUUCUUUUUCUUCAGCUUGGAGCAUCUGCAUGCAGGCGAGGCAGGGUGAGGACAGGCUGACUGAAAACAAGCAAGAUGGUAAGGAGGAGGAGCCCAGACAACAUGGAGUAAGCAUAUGUACAGAAGCAAUAGUAAUUACACAUUGCUUUCUGAAUUGUAGAAUCAGCUAGGUUGGUAAAGACUUUUACAAGUCCACCCCUAAACCGUAUCACUGAGGGCCUCACCUACAUGGUUUUUGAACACUUCCAGGGACGGUGACUCCACCACUGCCCUGGG